rnacentral:snRNA from 1 species
GUGCUCGCUUCAGCAGCACAUAUACUAAAAUUGAAAUGAUACAGAGAAGAUUAGCAUGGCCCCUGUGCAAGGAUGACACGCAAAUUCGUGAAGCAUUCCACAUUUUU